rnacentral:rRNA from 1 species
GCCUAACACAUGCAAGUCGAACGGUAACAGGAAGCAGCUUGCUGCUUCGCUGACGAGUGGCGGACGGGUGAGUAAUGUCUGGGAAGCUGCCUGAUGGAGGGGGAUAACUACUGGAAACGGUAGCUAAUACCGCAUAAUGUCGCAAGACCAAAGAGGGGGACCUUCGGGCCUCUUGCCAUCGGAUGUGCCCAGAUGGGAUUAGCUUGUUGGUGGGGUAACGGCUCACCAAGGCGACGAUCCCUAGCUGGUCUGAGAGGAUGACCAGCCACACUGGAACUGAGACACGGUCCAGACUCCUACGGGAGGCAGCAGUGGGGAAUAUUGCACAAUGGGCGCAAGCCUGAUGCAGCCAUGCCGCGUGUAUGAAGAAGGCCUUCGGGUUGUAAAGUACUUUCAGCGGGGAGGAAGGGAGUAAAGUUAAUACCUUUGCUCAUUGACGUUACCCGCAGAAGAAGCACCGGCUAACUCCGUGCCAGCAGCCGCGGUAAUACGGAGGGUGCAAGCGUUAAUCGGAAUUACUGGGCGUAAGGCGCACGCAGGCGGUUUGUUAAGUCAGAUGUGAAAUCCCCGGGCUCAACCUGGGAACUGCAUCUGAUACUGGCAAGCUUGAGUCUCGUAGAGGGGGGUAGAAUUCCAGGUGUAGCGGUGAAAUGCGUAGAGAUCUGGAGGAAUACCGGUGGCGAAGGCGGGCCCCUGGACGAAGACUGACGCUCAGGUGC